rnacentral:rRNA from 1 species
UCGGGAAUUUUGGGCAAUGGGGGAAACCCUGACCCAGCAACGCCGCGUGAAGGAUGAAGUAUUUCGGUAUGUAAACCUCGAAAGAAUAGGAAGAAUAAAUGACGGUACUAUUUAUAAGGUCCGGCUAACUACGUGCCAGCAGCCGCGGUAAUACGUAGGGACCAAGCGUUGUUCGGAUUUACUGGGCGUAAAGGGCGCGUAGGCGGCAUGACAAGUCACUUGUGAAAUCUCUGGGCUUAACCCAGAACGGCCAAGUGAUACUGUCGCGCUAGAGUGCAGAAGGGGCAAUCGGAAUUCUUGGUGUAGCGGUGAAAUGCGUAGAUAUCAAGAGGAACACCUGAGGUGAAGACGGGUUGCUGGGCUGACACUGACGCUGAGGCGCGAAAGCCAGGGGAGCAAACGGGAUUAGAUACCCUCGUAGUCCCUGAGCGGGCUGGCAAGGCGCAU